rnacentral:rRNA from 1 species
AUGGAUUCCGGCGGCGUUCCAGGUCAUCGCGACCUGCUGUCUAAGCUGAGCAGCAGCGGCAGCGACACGACGCCAGCGUUGCCAAAACUUCAGAUGGCGUUCCCCACCAUAAGCAUAGACGACGACGAUAUUGUCUACAUGGCUUCUAGCACCAAACACGGGAUCAUGGAAAACAUGGAGUUCAUGAUUGCUAUCGAUGGGCACCAGUACAGCUCAAACGAACUGAAAGGGAAGCUGCUAAAGCCAACUGAAAAAGAGCCUGUUAAGUUAACUGACAAAAAGGAGGGUAAACAUACCAGGGUGCACGGGGACAAACAGACCGGCAGAACAAGGCUGCCGGUGAACAAGAGAGUAAUGAAGACCUUGGAGCAGCUACGAGCGAUUAACUGGAGCUGCCCGAGGCGACUUGGUGAGCAGAUGAAGGACGCGGAUAAUGGUGAUCAAGGAGCUUGUUGA